AUUGAACGCUGGCGGCAUGCCUUACACAUGCAAGUCGAACGGCAGCACGGGGCAACCUGGUGGCGAGUGGCGAACGGGUGAGUAAUGCAUCGGAACGUACCUUUCAGUGGGGGAUAACGUAGCGAAAGUUACGCUAAUACCGCAUAUUCUGUGAGCAGGAAAGCAGGGGAUCGCAAGACCUUGCGCUGAUUGAGCGGCCGAUGUCGGAUUAGCUAGUUGGUGAGGUAAAGGCUCACCAAGGCGACGAUCUGUAGCGGGGCUGAGAGGAUGAUCCGCCACACUGGAACUUAGACACGGUCCAGACUCCUACGGGAGGCAGCAGUGGGGAAUUUUGGACAAUGGGGGCAACCCUGAUCCAGCCAUGCCGCGUGAGUGAAGAAGGCCUUCGGGUUGUAAAGCUCUUUCGGCCGGGAAGAAAUCGCACGGGCUAAUACCCUGUGUGGAUGACGGUACCGGAAUAAGAAGCACCGGCUAACUACGUGCCAGCCGCCGCCGUAAUAC
rnacentral:rRNA from 1 species